CGUAUCUCAUGUCCACCGUACUUGAUGAAAGGGAAACUCCACCGCCUUGGUCUCGCUACAGAUACGCCGGUACGCAUCCCGGGCCCGGCCUCCCGCCUUUCCCCGUGUCAAGACUCAAGCGGCCAGAAAUUUGAGGUCGCUCUUCUUCGUUUCUCCCUGAAGGAUCCAAGAACAGUGAAAGAGGACGAUCUCUCCCGUCCGGAAACCCUAAUCUCCUUCAAGAAAUUUGAGGUCCCUCUUCUUUGUUUCUCUGCGAAGGACCCAAGAACAAGGAAGGAGGAGGGCAUUGUAAGGAAAUGGGGAUCACGAUGGACUCAAAACCUAGAUCCUUGCCAGCCAUACUUUGAAGAGAUCCUUCUGCUUGAUAUAAGAUAGCAAUCAAAUGUGCAACAAAAACUCGAGGUGAAUUCUUAUCUACAAUCAGAAGUGAUGUCCUACAAUUGAUUUGGUUAUCUACAUGCAGAUUAAGCUUGGGUUAAAGAGCUCAACCUGAAAUCCACGUGGAAGAACCCAAAUGGGACAAUUGGGAAUAUUGAAAAUUCUAUAUGAUUGGAUAAUCUGCAUUGACUGCAUUUUGAAGGUUGUUAGUGCCUGGCUAACUAUUUUUUCAUGUAAAGGCAUGUUUUUGCUGCAGGCACAGUUUAAGAGCCACUUAUCUGUAAAAAACAUCUUAUGCCUGAGCAUGUCUAGCCAUAUCGCAUAUACCUGCCUAACUUGAAGUGUGCUGUUCUCAGGAUGGACAGAGCUCAUGUAUUGGAAAGAAUGCAUUUGAUGAUUAGUAAGAACAACUGAUGCAAUUAACAAGUUUUGAUGAAGUUUUGUAUCUGGUAGGAGGAAUCAUGGUUCAUGUUUCAUUUUGAUGAAGAAAAGAAAGCCUCAGCCCCAUGGGCGCUGAUUCACUUUCUGUUACUGUUCUCUACUUACUUUCACUGACAGUGAGUCUUCCAUCCUAUGGUUGUACUUCUAGAGGGCAAAGAAGAGGAGGUUGAACUGAAAAAAACAUAAAAGUUUACGGGUGCUGGAGGAGUUCUCUUAUCCAAGGCUUCAGUGGCUACUGUUUACCAAAAUAAUUUGCUACUAUAUCUUAGCACCAAAAUACUAAUUUGAAAGAAAUAUGAAGGAAGGUUUAAAACAUGCCAGAAAUCCAGAUUCGGGGCUGCAGAAUCUUUUGAGUUGUCUCCAACUGCUUAGCAUCAUUGGCACAUUCAAAUAUUUUUGUAUUUAACAUGUAUGAAUGCUGUCUAUGAUGACAUGGUUGCCUUUCCACCUAAUAAGGGCGAAGGUAACCGGUUGUGCAUGGGCUUGGAAGAACUGUGAUGGAAAUGUAUAGAAUGAUUUAUUAGCUCAAGGUCUGCGUGUGAGAAUUUGUGUUCGUUUUGCAGGAGUCAAAAGUAAUUUUGGUAAAUUAUUGAUUUAUGGCUUUUGAAAA